rnacentral:lncRNA from 1 species
GGGUGAAGUUUUUAUUUUAUGACACGAGUUGCAAGUUUCCUUAGAACAGCUGUCAUAUUCACGAUUGUGAACAUUGGGAUGUAUCAGGCAAUUGAUUAAAUUUAUUGGCAACCCUUACUUCGCUUUUGACACGAGUUUUAUAAAUUUUUCACUUAAUGACAGGAAUAAAAUAGCUUUGAGUCAGCGCUCAAAUUAGGGUCAGUCGAGUAACUGUAAACAGACAUAUAUACCAUGUAUACAUGUACAUGUAUUUUUUUUUUGCCAAUUAUCACUGUGUAUCAUCGUACAGUUGAUAUAGUUACUAACCAAGCGUGGCAUGAUCGUUUUUGAAACUGACAUGGUAACGAAAUCUUUGUUUUGUUUUAUCAACAUUCAGUGUACAGUUUUCAACAUCUGAAACCCCCCCUUUUUUUUGGACAAUCAAUGCAUUUGAAUGGGGACAUGUAGUUGGACCCCCCCCCCCUUUUGUCCUGGGUUAGGAACCCCCCUUUUUAAAAUGGCUGGAUCCACCCCUGGUAAGUAACUAUAUCCGCUGUACUGGUGAUACAAGGUGUUCAUGGCAGAUCUCUAUUUUGUAUAAUUCUAGAAAUCCAAGAAAAAAUGGGCAUUAUACAUGUAUCUAUGAAGGAAAUCCUGCGAUCUAAUAAGGGUUGUGUGCACGUGGCAGACGUUAUUUUUUUAUUUAACAGUUAUUUGAAUCAUUAUACACAUGUUUAUGUUCCUAAUAUUUAAAAAAGUAUCUGUUUGUAAUUAAAUGAUUACCUUUUCUUUCAGCUUACCUGUUAAUUACAAGAUACACUAGUAUGCCAUUCCAGGUUUGAUGAAAUAUAAAGUGAUGGUUUGAAAUUGGAGAGUUUUAUUUUUAUACACAGGUAAAUUGUUUUAUCCUGCAAUCAGCUAACUUUUGUACAAUGAGACAACUCUCCUCAAGUGUCCAAAUGACACCAAAAUUAACAACUAUAGUUAUAGGUCACUGUAUGGCCUUCAACAAUGAGCAAAGCCCAUUCUGCAUAUUCAGCUACAAAAGGCCCCUAAAUUGCAAAUGUAUUUUUUAGCAAUUCAAAGGAGAAAACUAACAGUCUAAUAUGUAAACACAGCAACAUAGACAACCACUGAAUAACAGGCACAUGCAUACAGAAUGUGGAGGGGUUAAUAGUCUAUAGAUAUAGGAAGAUGUGGUGUGAGUGCCAAUGAGACAACUCUCCAUCCAAAUAACAAUUUAUAAAAGUUAACCAUUAUAUGUCAACGUACGGCCUUCAACAAGGAACCUUGGCUCACACCGAACUUAAAGCUAUAAAGGGCCCCAGAAUUACUAGUGUAAAACCAUUCUUACGGUAAAACCAAGUCCAACAGUCUAAUCUAUAUAAAAAAAACCAAGAAACACAUAUAAAUUACAUAAACAAAAGACAACUACUGUAUAUGCUAGUGAGUGUUUUUUAAUUUGUGCAAAUAAAUUUCUGUUUUCUUACAUUGUAAGAAUAUUAAUGUACAUGUAUGAUGUAUAUUCAGAAGUUAUUGUAAUGUUUUAUAUAGCAAAUUUGCAUUUUGAAUAUUGCAAUAAUGGAACUCACAUUCUGAUCUCAAUAAAUAUAACUCAUUUUAUUUUAAAGUUUUAUCAAAGUAGUGCACCUUAUUAAAAUGUGUGUGAAAAAUUACAUCCUUGUUCAAAUGUUUAAUGAAAUUUCUCGCUACAUUGAAGACCCAUUGGUGGCCUUCGGCUGUUGUCUGCUCUAUUGUCGGGUUGUUGUUGUUUUAACACAUCCCCAUUUCCUUUCUCAAUUUUAUUAUUCAUGUUAUUAAAUAAAGACCAGGGAAUUAUGUUGUUUGCAUUUUAACAGUAACUUCUUGAAGAAAUAUGUUUGCACUUACUUUUUAAUACUUUAAUCAUAAAUAUCAUGUUAAACAUUUCAUUUAAAUAUAUAUACAUGUACAUUAUAUUUGCAUUUUCAUAUUUCAGCAAUGAUGAUCACCUGUACCGAGACAGCAGAAGAAAGUUACUUAUUUAUAACUCAUCAUGACCAUUUAAUACCGAAAAUCUGAUUAAAAUUUGUUUGGAAAGCCACCAAAUAUUUCAAUGAAAAGAAGAAAAAAGACAGCAAUUCUAUAUCAUGUAUAUCAUGUACUAAGCAGAAGCAUUUGCUGUUUCAAGACCCAGUUGAAUUGGAGUUUAGUGUUUUGAUGCAGUGAGACAGAGGAAUAUUUAAGUGAACAGUUUAGCUUCUUUUUCAUCAUCGUGAUCAUUAAAGUUGAUGUUUACCAUCGGAGAGAGCUUUUUCCUCAGUUGAAAUGAAUUCUAAAUACAGGCAGUUUGGAGACUUUGUAUAUUUCUUACAAUUGGAGUUCUAAAAAGGAUUACAUUUAAAAAAAAAAUGUGUUGCAACAGUUUCAUGGAUUUAAUUUGUGGUCUCUUUCGUGAAAUAUUUGAAAAAUGCAAUAUCUAACCAAGUAGUUUAUUAGAGAUCUACAGAUGAACAUAUGACAUGUAUGACAUUCAGAUGAAUUUGAAAGAAGGAAAUAUAUUUAUUUUAUAAGACUUUAAUAUGAGUGUUUAGUUAUUUUUUGGCAAUUACAGGCAUGACAGGGAGUAAUUAUAAGAUAAAGUUAUUUGAUUUAAACAUAAAUCCUACCUACAGAUAUACAUGCGAUAUACAUAUAUGCAUGUAGGCAUACAAUUCACUGACACACCACUAAUUUGAGUUACAUGUACAUGUAAUGAUAAAAGUAAGAAUAUGACAUAUAA